GGGAAAAAAAAAGAAAUAUAGGAUAGUAAAACUUUUAACUUAAAAAAAAAAAUUCGUGUGCAGUUACUGUAAUUGUUUACCGAUCAUUAAUUUUUUCAUUGCUUUCUCUCCUUAUUCAAGGAACUUACACGCUAUUUUUUUCUUCCUAGCCUGCACUAGGCCACCAGGCAUCCCUUAUGGUCAUAACUCCAUGUCAACUCCCUCUAAGCAGGUAUGACUUUCUGCUUUGCUAGAAGAAAUACUUGUUACAGUGCAGAGAUCUCUCCAGAAACAUCAGCCACUGUCAGAAAUAACAUUCUCCAUUUUGUCUACUUGUCCACCAUCACACCCUGCAAACUACAGCUUGUGCAUACAAUGCAGAAUCUUACUUCCAAGAUGCCAAACUCCUUUCUUGGCAGAUACAAAUAAAUCAAGAGCUACAUAUACUCUAACAAUCAUUCCAAUGGUAUCUACUUUUCUCAGACAUCAGUCUUCUACUUGUAACAUUUCUAAAAUUUGUCACUUUGUAAGAAUAAAUUGCUCUCCAAAGGCCAAAUAAACCAGAAAAAGGACUCCUCAAAGCUGUUGGCCUUUCAACAUUAAAUUCAUUAAGCUUGGGUGUCAGAGGCUUUUGGAGGCUUGUUUUUUAAUAACAUUAUUGAAUUUAAAAUAUUCCCUGAGCACAUUCAUGUUAAUUAUAGGAAACACAGGGGUGGAAAAAAAAUGCCAUAUUAAGGAUCUGCAAAAUAUUUACAUUAUAAUAGACAGAUGUGAAUGAAUAUUUAAAUAAUACCUGAGCUUUUCAGAUCUCUGAUACUGGGCACCAUGGUGAAGUUGCAAAGACAGCUGCCACUUAAUUUUCCACUGUGGUCAGUUCUUUGCGUGACAAAAAAAUUCUGUCAUUUUUUCUGUACCCUGUAAACUGCUUAACAAAAUCUGAUUUGUCAUGUUGAGGUAAUCACAUUAAAAAAAAUGAUAUUAGAAUUUUCUCUUAGGAUUCACAUUUAAUAUAUACUGUACUUUUUUUUUUUUUUUUUUUUUUGAGAUAGGGUCUCACUCUGUCACCCAGGCUGGAGUGCAGUGGAGCGAUCUUGGAUCACUGCAAGCUCCGCCUCCCAGGUACACCUAUUCUCCCGCCUCAGCCUCCCAAGUAGCUAGGACUACAGGCCCCUGCCACCACACCUGGCUAAUUUUUUGUAUUUUUAGUAGAGACAGGGUUUCAGCGUGUUAGCCAGGAUGGUCUCGAUCUCCUGACCUCGUGAUCCACCCGCCUCAGCCUCCCAAAGUGCUGGGAUUACAGGCGUGAGUCACUGUGCCCGGCCUAUACUUUCUAUUUCCUCUUUAGAAAGUCUCCAUUUCUAUUCCUUCUCCCCAUUUCCCCAUUUCUAUUAAUUAGCUACCAUUUGGCAUAGAGCUGUUAAAACACAAAUAUGUCUAGAAAACACUUUUUUCCUUUUUUUUGAGACGGAGUCUAGCUGUGUUGCCAGGCUGGAAUGCAGGAGUGCAGUGGCGCGAUCUCGGCUCACUGCAACCUCUGCCUUGCACCAGGUUCAAGUGAUUCCCUGCGUCAGCCUCCCAAGUAGCUAGGAUUACAGGCACAUGCUGCCACGCCCAGCUAAUUUUUGUAAUUUUAGCAGAGACGGGGUUACACUAUGUUGGCCAGGAUGGUCUCAAUCUCUUGACCUUGUGAUUCGGCCGCCUUGGCCUCCCAAAGUGCUGGGAUUACAGGUGUGACCACCGUGCCCGGCCUACAAAUCACUUCUAA
ensembl:lncRNA